rnacentral:misc_RNA from 1 species
CAACCCUUAAGCCUAGCUUAGUAUUGGGAAUCUGCUUAAACGCAGCUCCUUAAAUAUAGUUGGCAGAGCACGACUGUACUCUGAGCGUAGUAAUUUAUUAUCUCGUUCUGGAAGACAGCUGUACGAUCGCCACAAACCUAUUUAUUUUUUAAUGG